GUCUCCGGCCGCCGCCGCCUCCUCUCCUCCUCUCUGCUCUCCGGCCGCCGCCCUCACCAGAAAUGGCAAAAAGGAUUAGGAUUAAUUGGAAGCAAGAAGGUGUUGAAAAAACCUUUCUUGAAGGUGUUGAAAAAACCUAAAGCAAAUGGCUCCCUUUUCUUUUCCAAUACAAAGAGACAUCGUGAUUGCUUGUUUCGCCGUCCAUAAUUUUAUAAGGAAAUGCAAUAUUUAUGAUCAGUUAUUUAUGGACUAUGAUGAGAACACGAUGUUUCAUGAAAUGCAAAGUGGGGAAAAUGAUGGCCUGCUAGUUCAAGACAUAGAGUGGGGUUCACAAGGUAUUGACUACAUGACUUCUUUACGUAACCAGAUUGCUAAUCAGUUGCUUUCAAAUGAAUCAAAUUAAAAAUGUAUGUAGAGUUGUGUUAUUUGUAUUUGGAUUUCGUAUGUUGUGUUGUUUUGUAUUUGGAUUUAAAGGAUUGAUGUGUAAUUUGGAUUUUCUA